GACCUCGGAUCAGGUAGGGAUACCCGCUGAACUUAAGCAUAUCAAUAAGCGGAGGAAAAGAAACCAACAGGGAUUGCCCUAGUAACGGCGAGUGAAGCGGCAACAGCUCAAAUUUGAAAUCUGGCUCUUUCAGAGUCCGAGUUGUAAUUUGCAGAGGGCGCUUUGGCUUUGGCAGCGGUCCAAGUUCCUUGGAACAGGACGUCACAGAGGGUGAGAAUCCCGUACGUGGUCGCUAGCUAUUGCCGUGUAAAGCCCCUUCGACGAGUCGAGUUGUUUGGGAAUGCAGCUCUAAAUGGGAGGUAAAUUUCUUCUAAAGCUAAAUAUUGGCCAGAGACCGAUAGCGCACAAGUAGAGUGAUCGAAAGAUGAAAAGCACUUUGGAAAGAGAGUCAAACAGCACGUGAAAUUGUUGAAAGGGAAGCGCUU
rnacentral:rRNA from 1 species